AGGAUACCCGUUCACUUUGCUUUGUUUCACUCUCUUUUCUUCUUCUUUUGCUUGGGGCUGGAGGGGAGGGAGAGGAGAUUUUCUCUUUUAAAUAGUGCAGGAUAGAGGAAAUUACCUUGAAUAAAAUUGCUGCAGCUAAUCGCUCUCUCAGGCAGUAAAUUUGAGCAACAUCAAGAGCUGUCGACUUGAAAGGAAUCCACCUAUCAACAAUGACCUUGACUGUAUUUUCAGGAGAAGACAUAACUUUAUCUCCUUGAUCCGCUUCAAUAUUAUCUUCCUCACCAUCAUCCUCAUCAGCAUCUUCAUAAUCACUUCCAUCAUCAUCAUUAACUGUAUUUUCAGGAGAAGACAUAACUUCCUCUCCUUGAUCCGCUUUAAUAUUAUCUUCCUCCCCAUCGUCCUCAUCAGCAUCUUCAUAAUCACUUCCAUCAUCAUCAUUGUCGUCAUCAUCAUCUUCUUCAUUUCCAGGAGCCACUACAAUCUCUGUUGCCAGCAACAAAAGUGGGAGUGGCCCAAUGACACUACAGUUCCUUAUAUGAAGACCUCC
rnacentral:lncRNA from 1 species